GACACACCAUAUAGACAGCAAUAUCCGGAGCGGAAACUCUGUGUAAUAAUAUAUUGCUGCUGGUACUACUAAUAUCCUAGAAAUUCAGAUCCUGUCUAUGCUGCAUCAUGAAUGUAUUGUUGGUGUUUCUGCUAACGCUUGUCACUGAGACGGAGACACAAAUUACAGUCAUUCAGUAUCCAAGAACCGUAGUCACGUCACCUGGGGGUUCUCUUAAUGUCACCUGUGAAGUAUUGGGCUACGAUAACCCUUAUAUAACUUGGUACCGCCAGUUCAGUGGAGAAGAACCCAAGUCUGUGUUUGUAUCAGCUGGUACAGGUGUGGUGGACCCUCCUAGUUUGGGACAUUUCAGUGCCCUCAGACCCAACAGCUCUCAUUUCUUUCUGGAAGGAACCAGCCUUGAAGUCCAGGACUCAGGAACGUACUUCUGUGCUGGUAGUACCCACAGCGGAGCAAGUGGGUGAGGCUGCCGUACAAAAACUGUGAGGGCAGCAUCGUGCAAGUAGGCUGAGAUGGAGGCUUGUUGGAAAGUAAUUAAUAGUGCACUGUAGUGUGUGUGUGUGUGUGUGUGUGUGUGUGUGUGCGCACGCAGGGGGCUACGUUUGUGGAUGUUUUGUAAAGGAUGAAACACUCCGCAUUUUGCGCCUUUAUAUGAACCUCCUUUUCAGAAUAAGAUUAUCUAGCUGUGUUUUUUUGCACAGGAUUUCAUAUAAAAUAAUAAGGGAGUGGAAGGAAUAACAGUUAGCUAACUACGAUACCCACUUUGUUUCUAUGUUUUAUCCAGCUGAACAGAAACACUUCUGGUUGUCUCGCUUCUUCCACGCAGCUAUGACAUAUAUGAGGGACAUAACUUCGUUUAAACAGCAUGCAUGCGUUUCAAAAUUUACCUGCCGUUUUCUUAGGUAAUGUCCUAAAAGGGACAUUAGGAAUACAUUAAAUGAACCAAAAUAAAUGUGCACUAAACUGCAACUCCCACCCAGCCGUGCCCGUGGCUAGUUAAGCUAAAAAAAAUAAGGAUUUACAUGCACACUUCUUCACACUCCACACUCUUUCAGAAUAUCCCUGAUUUUGCGUAAUAUUUUUGCCCAGGGCAAAUUGCUCUGUAUCCGAUGGGAAAUCACUGAGCAGUAAAAUAGUUCCAUACAGUAGAGUUUCUCACUUAUUAUUCAGAAAGUGGACGCGGAUGCGUUCUGUUAUUUUUUUGAAUGAAUUAGAGUAAUAUAUUAAAAUUGCCCAUGAUUUUGUCCCUUGGUCUCCUCAUUAUUAUUGGCUUUGUCCAGAAUUCUUCAGCAAAUGGUUUGAGAGGAAUGGUUCAGCACACUUUAGCGUUUUGCUUCUUUUUGUUUUCCUCAAAUAUUUUUUUUUUAUUUUCAAUUAAAGUAACAUUUACAUAAUAUUUUUAAAUAUCAUUUUAAACAAUUCUAUACAAUACUUACAAUAGCCUGACUUUCAAUUAUAUACACUGCAUGUUAUUAAAUCUAGAAUUAACAGAUCAGCUGUUAGAGAUACAAUAUUGAUUAUUGCAGAGUGUCCAACAAAGAUAUAACUUUCUUCCAUGGAUUAUUUACAAAUGGC